GACGAACGCUGGCGGCGUGCUUAACACAUGCAAGUCGAACGGAAAGGCCCUGCUUUUGUGGGGUGCUCGAGUGGCGAACGGGUGAGUAACACGUGAGUAACCUGCCCUUGACUUUGGGAUAACUUCAGGAAACUGGGGCUAAUACCGGAUAGGAGCUCCUGCUGCAUGGUGGGGGUUGGAAAGUUUCGGCGGUUGGGGAUGGACUCGCGGCUUAUCAGCUUGUUGGUGGGGUAGUGGCUUACCAAGGCUUUGACGGGUAGCCGGCCUGAGAGGGUGACCGGCCACAUUGGGACUGGGAUACGGCCCAGACUCCUACGGGAGGCAGCAGUGGGGAAUAUUGCACAAUGGGCGGAAGCCUGAUGCAGCAACGCCGCGUGCGGGAUGACGGCCUUCGGGUUGUAAACCGCUUUCGCCUGUGACGAAGCGUGAGUGACGGUAAUGGGUAAAGAAGCUCCGGCUAACUACGUG
rnacentral:rRNA from 1 species